GAGGCUAUAGCUCAAAUGGUAAAGCACAUGCUUAGCAUGCAUGAGGUCCUGGGUUCAUUCUCCAGUUCCUCCA
rnacentral:tRNA from 1 species